AUGAGGACAUUUCCAGAGUUUUGUAACACUAGGGAAGCUGCAUCUUCUAACGAAAAUCGAAUGGAUAAAGGAUAGAUUGAGCGAUUCAUAUGCAAUAGCAGGUAUUUUCCUUGAUCGUGUGAUGCAAGUGAGAAAUUCCCAUUGUCACUGACAAUAUCUUUGCCCCCGGCCUUCAUGAUUUCAAAGCCUUCAGUGGUGUUCAUAAAAACUGAAUAAUUUCUAUGAUUGUUGCCUGGCAAUUGUCGAAAAUACCAGUCAGGUGGAAGCUCAUACCUCAUGCCCAUGACAAUCACAGGGAAAAGAAAUAGCAGCACCACUACUGUGUCCAUGUGUUAGCCAAAGUAGAGAUAAUGUAUGAGAAACUCUGGAUAGGGCCUUGAAAUAAAUCACACCGAAGUCAGUCGUGCCGCGUGGGACUCUUCUACCUUGACUCGGUGUAGGUAGACAGCGUAAGAAAUACGUUGUGAUGCGAUGCAACAACAAACAUUGGCAUGCAUCUACAUUUCAUCCCAUUCUAAACAGUCUAACAAAGGCGUUUGGUUCUAACUGCGUGUGAAGCAGAGAAGAACAAAAAAGGUUUGGUUCUAACACAAAUUUUCAAAAAAUAAAAGAAAAAAGAAAACUUGGCGCAUUCUUCUCGGCGGCAACUGAUCCCCUGACCGUGAAAUCCGCCGCUGUCGCCCGGAGCUUCUGAUACCAGCUCGACCGCUGCUCCCUUCCUCCUCCCAUAUGGAGCAGCAUUGCCCCAGGGGAUGGGAGUCUAGGAGAUUAGCAGUAGCUCUAGCGCAGCAGCAGGGUCUCUGAUAAAGAACCAUCUCAGGAGUAAGGUCCUCCAAGAGUGAAAGCAUCAUAGCUUGGAAGAUCGCCAAUGCAGCCUCCGUAGUGACCGUGGAUCACCAGAACCGGAGGUGGCUGCUCGCCGUGUCUAUCUUCGGUCCCCAGUUUUAUAAACCGAGUCAAUGUAAGUUGGUGUCGAUUGAAAAAUGGAAACCUUCCCCAGUCCUUGAUCGAGCUGUUUUAAUAUCAUACCAGGAAGCAGUGAGAAAGAGCGCUAAUUUCCCAUACACGUUCCUCGAGCCAUUGGACGAACUUUGUGUUGUCGUGUGUGAGAUUGGCCUGGAAAAAUCCCACCCGGUCAGUCCCGGUGUCGCUGUGAGUAGUCGGGGGACCGUCCAGCCCCGCUUGGAAGCACGCGAGCUCCAUUAGUGCAAAUGGCACUGUUCUCGUCACGCGUUGUGACUUCCUCCAUGACAAAUCCAUACGUCAGCUUGCUCUGCCUGGUGAACUUCUGGACGAGGUAAGCAGUGAGUAUAUAACAAGCCAAGCAAGCGUCACAAUUACCUCGGUUAAGCUCGAUUGACCCAUAUACCAGGCACGUCUUCCAAACCGGGACCUCCAGUAAACACCUCACUGACUUUGCGACUGUUAAAACGGCUAGCCUUGAGCGUACGCUCCCUGGGAUCGGUCAAACCGUCGAGAUAUUCCAUCUUGAAUCCUAAGUCAUCCUACAAAUCCACAUUGCGGUGCGUAAAUAUCAAAAAGCUCUGAGAGGGAAGUACCGGACCUGGGGAUUGAAGAGAUUAUUCGACGUGACAGUACAAAUCAAUGUGCGGUUUAAGCUUUUGAUAUUCCGACGCUCAAAGGUUACGUUACAACCUGGCUGGAUCGAGGCCUGUAUCAACGAAACCGCAUAAGCAGUGAAGACGGUUUGGAUAUAAAGUGACUCACCAGGGUUGGACGUCCAGAAUUCCCUGGCACUCUCCACUCGGUGCUGAUCUCAGCAGUUUUCUGCUCGAGCUCCUUCAACUUCACUUCCACUAUAAUACCUCCCUCGAUCUCUUCAUCCGGCCUUGGAUUGACUUCAAUGUUAGAAAAGAGGGAAAGAUUGUUGAUGUUGCGCAAGCUUUCUUGCCCGCUUCAAUGUUGAAGAUCUUCCCAGAGCUAAGCUGCAUCCAGCAAAAACAACAAAUGAGAACCACCAGAAAAAAUAAACAAGCAAUACCUGUGAAGGAAGCUCCCUCUCUAUGAUAGGGACUUGAGUGUUCCCUUCAACUGGAAGCCCCAUCUUGUCCUGGAACAUUAUUUGCACGUCUGUGAUGUCCCCUUCCACUACUUCACAGACUAUUUCGUUCGUAUUGAGGUUUCCAAAGUUGACGACUUGAGCGCACGCAUACCCUGAUAUCACUUCUGUAUUCUCUCCCGGAUUCUCUGCAGCAUUCUCCAGUAACACGAGACUCAGCGGAGAGCCAGCCCGAAAUUUCCUACUUGAUCCUUCUCGGUAGCAUGCACUUCCUGGCUUUCCUCACCCGCUUCUUGUACUCUUCUUCUUGCUUCCCAAGAUAUUCCUGCUGCUGCUUCUCGGUCAUGCUGUUAAAAUCGGGUUGUUUGGUCUGAGCCAACGGCACAACGUUGAUACACCGCACACUUUUCACCGCUUGCCACUGGCUCUCGACAAAGUUGAUGUUGAUCUUUAUAGUCCCAUCAGCCUGAGUGACGCCUUCCAUCUCCACCCUCUGGAACAUGCCACAGUUGACGAGGUUCUCCAGCUGCGACUCAAGCUGGUCUUUCGUGAAAUCCCCACCAGUCCGGAGCGUGAAAAGCUCGAAAAAUGGAUCCUUGCCAUCGACGGCCUUUUUGCUGCGCUGAUCCACGAGAUCGACGCCGGAAAGCUUGUACUUCUUGUUGGGGCUGAGCCAGCUUACCGGUGCCGUGAGGCCGAGUUUAGCACCGUGAGGAUCCCAAUCUCCACUGUUUUUAUCGUCGGCCCUGGCACCGCUGCCCCCAGAAGCUCCCACAGCGAAUUUCCACCACCAGGUCCUCCUCCAAAGCCUCCGCCACCACCACCGCCGCCGCCUCCUCCACCACCUCCACCGAAGCCUCCAAAUUCACCACCACCAGGCCAAAGCUACAUUUUUUCUUAAAUCUACCAUUGCCGUUGCUGGGCUCUAGCUUUCUGGAUUUGCUCCUGCUGCUGUUACUCUUACCCGAGGAGGCUGAGGAGGAGGAAGGAUGAGGCUUGGUAAAGCGCAGCCACGCGCGAAGGCCCUGGGUUUGAUGGAAAUCCCCCUCUUUUGCUGCUGCUGGCAGGAUGGAAACGAGCACGAGCAGGCGAUCGAUUCGACAGCUCGGUGAGGCCGGAGAGCAUGGCGGCCACGAAUCCACUCGUCACGAACUGGCUCUUUGCAGCAAACCUGGAAAAAUAGAUAUCGAGAGUUCACGGAGAGUUGAACUCAGGCUGAGCUAUGAAAGCAGAUUUAAAUAAACUCUCAAAUACUAGAUAAUUAUGUUGACUUUUGAGCUCGUGACUUAAAAAGUGGUCUAGUCUCUGGGACAAGGGUCUCCCAAGUGGUGCAAGCUCGUGAGCUAAAAAGUGGUUCAGUCUCCAGUCUUUGGGAGAAAAGUCUCCCAAGUGGUCAAUCUUCGGGAGAAGGGUUUCCACCAACUAGAAGAGCUCUUUAAAUUUAAACUUAAAUUCACCAUGUGACCAAGCACUUGUUUUCGGAGGUAAUUUUCUGCUUCAAAUAUGUGGCUGCAUUCAGUCUUCAUCCCACAACAACUUUCGUACUACAGAAUAUGUUUAUAUAAUUUUGAAACAUCAUAUACUCAUGUUUAGCGAAAUGCAACUUUUGCUAUCAAAGGAGCAGAACCCAAAUCCAAAUGCCCUUGCAACACUUCCACUAUUGUCCUCAUGGAUGGCCGAGCAUCAGCAUUGUCUUGAAUGCACCAAAGUGCAAGAUGAACCAUUUUCUUGGCCUGGUGAUAGUUUUCACUGGCACUUGCUCUCACCCUCUCGUCAAUCACUUCGAGAAAGUUCCCCUUCUCCACCUGGUUCACCACCCAAGUUGGAAAAUACCAGCUCUCGUCCGGCUGAGUGUUGUCCCCAGAGUUCACAGCCUUUGAGAGAUCAAUGUUCCUGCGACCCCCAAUUAGUUCCAAAAGUACCUUUCCAUAGCUGUAAACGUCGCAUCUCUUUGUAGCCAUGAAAUGUGUGAGCCAUUCCGGAGCCAUGUAGCCUGGAGUGCCCCGCAUGGUCGUCAUGACCUGCGUCUCGUUGCGGUUCUCAAGCAGCUUUGCCAUCCCAAAGUCCGCCACCUUUGCGACAAACUCUGUGUCCAACAGAAUGUUUUGGGGCUUGAUGUCCAAGUGCAGUAUGGGCUCCCUGCAUUCCUCGUGAAGAUACACAAGCCCUUGAGCCAUGCCAAGGGCAAUGUCGAUCCUCUGCUGCCAACUGAGCCAUAAAUUCUCUGAAGUUUGCUCGAAAAGCCAUUUGUCGAGUGAUCCAUUGGGCAUAAAUUCGUAAACCAGCAGCCACUGUGUUGCUCCCUCGAUGCAAAAGCCACAAAGUUUAACAAUGUUUACAUGACUUAUGCCUCCAAUUCCAGCAAUCUCGGUCACAAACUGUUUUGCCCCUUGCGUUCCACUGUAGUCAAGCUUCUUGACUGCCACAACUCUACCAUCACUCAAAACUCCUUUGUAAACUGAUCCAUAUCCCCCAGCUCCCAGCUUUGUGCUAUAUCCUUUUGUCGCAGUAUCCAAUGUCGUAUAUGAGAAUCUCUGAGGCAAACGGCCUUGCAUACUAGCCAACAAUGCUUCAAUCUCCUUUGCCGGAUUGAACUUGAGCUUGCGCUCAUUAAACGCAAGAGCACAUACCGCUAGGAAGCAUAGGAAUAUCACUGUGGAAGUCAUGGUAAGAGUUAUAAUGUAAAGUUUCGGUUGAUGAUGAGCCUUCAGAGUUUUGAUGAUAAGAGUUAUGUUUUUGGUAGUGUCAUCUUUGUAGAAGCUCCCAUAUAUAUCAUACGAAAUGAAGAAGCAGUCCUUGGUAUCGCCAUUGAAAAUAAGUGACAUACACCUGCUACAAUUCAUAACAAAGCAGGCUUCUGUGCACUUGUGUAGAGAGGAAUUCCUUUGGUUGGGCUGCAUGAAUUCAGUUCUAUAAUAUCCAAUACCAGAAAACUUGUGUUUCAUCACAAUGUAGUUACGAUAUUGUUGUCUGAGGAAGUCAAAUUUGGAGCAAGAACUUACAUCAAAAUUCGAAGUGUGUAAGUCACACAUAUGAUAUUUAUCGUGAUAUUUAUCACCCCUCAAGCAGCUGCAGCUUCCAUUGUCGGCAUUGCAGAUCUCAUAUCGAGAACAAGCCUUACAUGCAGGAUUUCCUGGCCAUGAUUUUAUCUGGUUUGUAUAGUCCGUUAGAUGAAUGUCUUUAAUCCAUUGAUUUCCUUCAUACUUGUAAGAUAUAAUGCUCCCAUCUGAGUCAAAUUGCAAGAAUGGCAAAAGAGGAGUACUUGAUUCAGUUGAAGUCCUUAAUGAUAGCUGCUCACAAUUAUUGGAGAGUGUCAAAUUGCUCCGAGUGUACUGAAGAAAUGUUGAGGUUGAGCCUUCACAUGUAGAAGUAAAUCGCCACGCUUGAUAUGCUUGGUGUUGGAAUUGUCCUUCUCGUUCAAGUUCACUGGGAGAAAUCCAAAACAGUCCCUCAUCUUGGACAAUAACAAGAGUCUCAUAGUCGUUGCUCAUUAUGCCCAUCCCUGUUUUCAGAAUUUGGGUUGGGAGGAGAAAUUCUGAGGGAAAAUCGAAACUUUGCCACACACUGCCGUUGUAAGAAUAAAUGAGGACAUUUCCAGAGUUUUGUAACACUAGGGAAGCUGCAUCUUCUAAUGGAAAUUGAAUGGAUAAAGGAUAGAUUGAGCGAUUCAUAUGCAAUAGCAGGUAUUUUCCUUGAUCGUGUGAUGCAAGUGAGAAAUUCCCAUUGUCACUGACAAUAUCUUUGCCCCCGGCCUUCACGAUUUCGAAGCCUUCAGUGGUGUUC
rnacentral:lncRNA from 1 species